GGGGAUGUAGCUCAAACGGUAGAGCGCUCGCUUUGCAUGCGAGAGGUACGGGGUUCGAUACCCCGCACCUCCA
rnacentral:tRNA from 1 species